rnacentral:rRNA from 1 species
CGGGUCGUAAAGCUCUGUCAUCGGGGACGAACAUCUAAACAGUUAAGAGCUGGUUAGACUGACGGUACCCGAGAAGGAAGCACCGGCUAACUCCGUGC